CAGGCCUAACACAUGCAAGUCGAACGCAUCCUUCGGGGUGAGUGGCAGACGGGUGAGUAACACGUGGGAACGUACCCUUUGGUUCGGAACAACUCUGGGAAACUGGAGCUAAUACCGGAUGUGCCCUUAGGGGGAAAGAUUUAUCGGCAAGGGAUGAGCCCGCGUCGGAUUAGCUAGUUGGUGGGGUAACGGCCUACCAAGGCGACGAUCAGUAGCUGGUCUGAGAGGAUGAUCAGCCACACUGGGACUGAGACACGGCCCAGACUCCUACGGGAGGCAGCAGUGGGGAAUAUUGGACAAUGGGCGCAAGCCUGAUCCAGCCAUGCCGCGUGAGUGAUGAAGGCCUUAGGGUUGUAAAGCUCUUUUAUCCGGGACGAUAAUUACGUACCGGGAGGAAUAAGCCCCGGCUAACUUCGUGCCAGCAGCCGCGGUAAU
rnacentral:rRNA from 1 species